UUUCUUUUUUUUGUUUUUUGUUUUUUUUUGUUUUUGUUUGUUUUUUGUUUUUUGGAUUUUGGUCUUUUCGAGACAGGGUUUCUCUGUGUAGCCUUGGCUGUCCUGGAACUCACUCUGUAGACCAAGCUGGCCUCAAACUCAGAAAUCUGCUUGCCUCUGCCUCCCAGAGUGCUGGGAUUACAGGCGUGCGCCACCACCGCCCGGCGUUACUUUUCUAUUGUUGUGACCAUGUAUAAGUGACCAAGGUAACUUAUAAAAGAAAACAUUUAUUUAGCAUUGAUAGGUUCGAAGGGUUGGAAUUCAUGACCAUUAUGGCAGGGUGCAUGACAGCUGGUAGGGAGGCAGGAAACUGAAGUAGUAGCUGAGAACUUACAUCUUGAUCCACACGCCCAAGGCAGAGCAAGCUAACUGGGAAUGGCAUGGGCCUUUGAAGCCUCAAAACCUGUUCCCAGUGACAUAGUCCCUCCAACAAGGCCACACCUUCUAAUCCUUUUCAGACAGUUCCACCAAUUGUAGACCAAGUAUUUAAACAUGAGUCUAUGGAGCUGUUCUCAUUCAAACCACCAGAUAGGCUCUUGGCUGUCUUGUGUUGCUGGCCAUAUCAUAAUGCAAAAUGUAUUUAGCCCUAUGUUAGAAGUCCCUAUAGAUUUUUAAAGUCUCAGCACAAUUUAAAAGCCCAAAAUCUAAAGUCUCUUCUGAGACUCAAGGGUAUCUCCUGAUUGUAAGCUCCCAUAACAUCCUAAAGCAAAUUACAUAGUUUCAGCAUACAAUGAUACUGAAAAUAUAUUAUCAUCCCCAAAGGGAGGAAUUGGGGUAUAUUGAGGAAAUACUCAACCAAAGAAAGACUGAAACCCAGCAGGGCAAACUCCAGAUCCUGUAGCUCCAUGUCUAAUGUCAAAGGGUUUAAAUGGCUUCAACUUUCUAGCUUUGCUGACCACACGCACAUGUCUCUCUGUAUGUAUACUUCCCUGGCAGCCACCUCAUGCUCUGACAUCUCUGGCAUUAUGGGGUCUUCAAUACAAUUCAGAUUUCACUUUUAUAACUUUAUGCAAUGGCCUGUCAGUGACUCCAUGCAGGGAGGCCCAUCAAACACAUCCUCACAAACUCCUCAGCACAGAGGAAAAUUCUACAGCCUCUUUACUUAUGUAUCCUUCAUGACUCUAAAGCUAUAGCCACGUAGUUGAGAAUGCCAAGUUUAGCUGUCCACUUGGAAUGGAGCAUGACUCCCUCCUGGAAAUUAUAGUCAAAAUAUAAAUAAAAUUCUAGCAUACCACAUCAAUAACACACUCCUUGGUACCAAAUUCUUUCUUAGUUACUUUUCUAUUUCUAUGAUUAGACACUAAGAUCAAGGUAACUUAUAAAAGAAGAUGUUUCUUUGGGGCUUACCAUUUCAGAGGGUUAGAGGGCAUGGUCACCAUGACUGGGAGCAUUACAGCAGGCAGGUAGGUAUGAAGAUGGAGCAGUAGCUGAAAUCUUACAUCUUGAUCUACAAACACGAGGUAGAGAGAGAUAACUGGGAAUGGCAUGGGCUUUUGAAACCUCAAAACCUGCUCUCAGUGACAUAGCCUCUCCAACAAGGCCACACCUCCUAAUCCUACCCAGAAAGUUCUAUGAUUGGGAAUCAAGGAUUCAAACAUGUGAGUCUACAGGGGCCAUUCUCAUUCAAAUCACUACAGACAGCAACACGUCAGGGAAGGAACAAGGGAGACACAGGACUUCAGGAGCCAAGAUGGCAAGGAAGGUGAACAGAGGGUCUACUGAGGGAACGUCACACAGAUGGCCGAGUCAGGAAAUCCUGGAGUGGAGUGGGGUUAAGACAAUGUAGAUGAGUAAUUCAGGUGAACAUCUGAUGCUAACAAGCCCAGUUGUUGAACUUUGUCUAAUCUUUGUAAAGAGCCAAGGCCUCGGGAGGGAUUAGGAAGAUGGCUUCCAAGGUCUUAGGCCCAGUUAUGUCUGAUAGGAUACUCACAUAUCCCCACUAUCUUGUAGCCAGGACCACAGCCCCAUGUUUUCUUUCUGAAUCCUGGCUAUGGGGACAUUUCUGGCUCCAUGGUGAUCUGGGGACACCUGGUUAAGGGCUAGUUUCUUGAGCUGAUGACCAUGUACUGGAAUCAUGGAGGCCUGUCUAGUGAAAUGACUAUGUUCCCUGUUCAAUGGUGUAUACAUCUUCCUACCUGUUCUGCGGUCUGGGAUCUACUUCCUCAGUGGCUCAGUGAGUAAGCCUGCCAGAACCUGGGCUAACAAAAUUUCAUCUGCAAUGCAGUCUACCUGGCCAGCAAGACCAAGUAGUCAAGAAAACUGGUGAGAGGAUGGCUUUGGAAUUAAGGAAUCCAUUAGCUGUCUCUUGCCUAGACAAAUCAGGCUGGGCAGCCCUUACCAAGAAAGGUAACUUAGUUCAAGUUGAUAGGAGUUCCUGUUUGUCUGUCUUCUGGAGUCUGUCUAUGCUCCUUUCAUUCAGGGAGUGAUCCUUCAUGGUGGAGGCUCACAUGCCAUCACCUGGUCACCCUUCUUGUCAAAGAUCAUAUUCAGAAGCACCCUGAAUUGAACUUAUACCAGAGUCAAGCUCUUCCCCUCCCUGGCUUGGUGCCUUCUCUCUUUCAGACCUUAUUAGUAUCCACUCUUCCUAAUAGAAUAUCUGGGGUUUCUGAGGCCAGGCUCACCAAGUGUUCCAUGUGUCCAGAUGAAUCACUUAGCCUUGAUUCCAAGUUCCAGGAUGAGGAAGAGUAUCCAGGCUGGAGGGUGGCUCAGGUCCUGAGCCAUCUCCAUUUCUCCUUAAGAGCUCCCGAAUUCCUAGGAGGAGGGCAUCUAUCUUUAACUGUCAUCUAAAGUCCCAGGAUGCACUUCUGAUCUCCUUGACCUCUAAGAUCACAUUUAUGUCCCUGAGCCAGGAGGUCCAAUUCAGCUGGUUCAUGAAUAAUAAUCAGGUGCACAUGGCUCAGACAUAGGUCUGCAAGGAGCAAUAUAACAAUAUCUUCCAGGUGAUCAGCAUUUUCAGCCAAGAAGACUGAGGGGCAAGGAAUUCAAAUGCAAGGGCAUGCCCAGGUGCCUGGGGAAGCCUCCAUCCAAGAAGCAGAUCAACAGGAACAAGCCAGUCUCACUGGCAUGAUCACGCUCUCUGUCCUGGAGACAUUGAUGUGGAGUGUUACAGUCAUGGAAAACCUGGACAGAACUACAAGAACAUAGUUGUGGACUCUCGUACAUCCUUCUUCUACAGAAGCAUUACUAUGGCCAAGAUCAUGAGGCAGGAGGGAAAUAUUUCACUUGCUCUGUGGUACGAGUCUCUGCACAACGGCCACACACAGAAAACCCUUGCCUGGUCUGUGGAUGAAUGAAUGCAUCACUCAGCAAGCCCUCUUAUUCUUAGGGAAACUGAUGUAUUCCUUUUCUCCAUACAAAUAAACCACCCAUCACUUCCCUGGGACCCAGUGAAA